UACAGAGGGUGCAAGCGUUAAUCGGAAUUACUGGGCGUAAAGCGUGCGUAGACGGUUGCGUAAGUCAGAUGUGAAAGCCCCGGGCUCAACCUGGGAAUUGCAUUUGAGACUGCGUAGCUAGGGUGCGGAAGAGGGAAGCGGAAUUUCCGGUGUAGCGGUGAAAUGCGUAGAUAUCAGGAGGAACACCGGUGGCGAAGGCGGGUCUCUGGGCCGAUACUGACGCUGAGGGAGCGAAAGCGUGGGGAGCGAACAGG
rnacentral:rRNA from 1 species